CCUACGGGAGACAGCAGUGAGGAAUAUUGGUCAAUGGGCGUAAGCCUGAACCAGCCAAGUCGCGUGAGGGAAGACGGUCCUAUGGAUUGUAAACCUCUUUUGUCGGGGAGCAAAAGACGCCACGCGUGGCGUUCCGAGAGUACCCGAAGAAAAAGCAUCGGCUAACUCCGUGCCAGCAGCCGCGGUAAUACGGAGGAUGCGAGCGUUAUCCGGAUUUGUUGGGUUAAAAGGGUGCGCAGGCGGAAGAUCAAGUCAGCGGUAAAAUUGAGAGGCUCAACCUCUUCGAGCCGUUGAAACUGGUUUUCUUGAGUGAGCGAGAAGUAUGCGGAAUGCGUGGUGUAGCGGUGAAAUGCAUAGAUAUCACGCAGAACUCCGAUUGCGAAGGCAGCAUACCGGCGCUCAACUGACGCUCAUGCACGAAAGUGUGGGUAUCGAACAGGAUUAGAUACCCGAGUAGUC
rnacentral:rRNA from 1 species